rnacentral:hammerhead_ribozyme from 1 species
CUGCCACUGAGGAGUCCCACAACAGGACGAAACGGCCGUCAAAGAG